rnacentral:rRNA from 1 species
CCUACGGGGGGCAGCAGUGAGGAAUAUUGGUCAAUGGGCGGAAGCCUGAACCAGCCAAGUCGCGUGAGGGAAGAAGGCCCUGCGGGUCGCAGACCUCUUUGGACGGGGAGCAAGGCCGCCGACGUGUCGGCGGAAGGAGAGUACCCGUAGAACAAGCAUCGGCUAACUCCGUGCCAGCAGCCGCGGUAAUACGUAUGGUGCAAGCGUUAUCCGGAUUUACUGGGUGUAAAGGGAGCGCAGGCGGCACGGCAAGCCUGAUGUGAAAGCCCGCGGCCCAACCGCGGGACUGCAUUGGGAACUACCGG